GACGAACGCUGGCGGCGUGCUUAACACAUGCAAGUCGAACGGAAAGGCCUCUUUCGGGGGGUACUCGAGUGGCGAACGGGUGAGUAACACGUGAGUAACCUGCCCUUGACUUUGGGAUAACUUCAGGAAACUGGGGCUAAUACCGGAUAGGAGCUCCUGCUGCAUGGUGGGGGUUGGAAAGUUUCGGCGGUUGGGGAUGGACUCGCGGCUUAUCAGCUUGUUGGUGGGGUAGUGGCUUACCAAGGCUUUGACGGGUAGCCGGCCUGAGAGGGUGACCGGCCACAUUGGGACUGAGAGACGGCCCAGACUCCUACGGGAGGCAGCAGUGGGGAAUAUUGCACAAUGGGUGGAAGCCUGAUGCAGCAACGCCGUGUGCGGGAUGACGUCCUUCGGGUUGUAAACCGCUUUCGCUCAUGACGAAGCUUUGUGUGACGGUAGUGGGUAAAGAAGCACCGGCUAACUACGUG
rnacentral:rRNA from 1 species